CUGUCUUUAGAGUUGCCGAACGGACGGUAGACGUGUCAGAGAGAAUGCCGAGGUCAAGGACAGGAGAGAUACAGAUAAACCUUUAAAUAAGCCAAGGUCAAAGGAGCACCAAAAUAAGGAGAAAUGUUUGAGAAACAGACAAAAUUAGAUACCAGGAAAAGGAUACACAUGGCUACUAGAACCACAACAGAGCAAUAUGGGAUGGGACAGGUA